UAAGUUGGCCGGAUGGUCGCAGUUUUGAAUGAAACUGAGGAAAGUCCGGGCUCCACAGGGCAGGGUGCUGGGUAAUACCCAGUGGAGGUGACUCCCAGGCAAGUGCCACAGAAAAGAUACCGCUGUUUUUAACAGUAAGGGUGAAAAGGUGAGGUAAAAGCUCACCAGAGUUCAGGUGACUGGACUGCUAGGUAAACCCCACCUGGAGUAAGUCCAAAUAGAGAGGAAAUAAAGCUGCCCGCUUUUCCUCCGGGUAAGGACGCUUGACGGCUAUAGGUAACUAUAGCUGCAGAUAGAUGACCAUUUAAGACAGAACCCGGCUUACAGGCCAACUUACCAG
rnacentral:RNase_P_RNA from 1 species